rnacentral:rRNA from 1 species
UGGGGUAUAUUGCACAAUGGGCGCAAGCCUGAUGCAGCCAUGCCGCGUGUGUGAAGAAGGCCUUCGGGUUGUAAAGCACUUUCAGCGGGGAGGAAGGCGAUAAGGUUAAUAACCUUGUCGAUUGACGUUACCCGCAGAAGAAGCACCGGCUAACUCCGUGCCAGCAGCCGCGGUAAUACGGAGGGUGCAAGCGUUAAUCGGAAUUACUGGGCGUAAAGCGCACGCAGGCGGUUUGUUAAGUCAGAUGUGAAAUCCCCGGGCUCAACCUGGGAACUGCAGCUGAUACUGGCAAGCUUGAGUGUCGUAGAGGGGGGUAGAAUUCCAGGGGUAGCGGUGAAAUACGUAGAGAUCUGGAGGAAUACCGGUGGCGGAGGCGGCCCCCUGGACGAAGACUGACGCUCAGGUGCGAAAGCGUGGGGAGCAAACAGG